UAGCAGUCGAGCGGACAGAAGGGAGCUUGCUCCCGGAUGUUAGCGGCGGACGGGUGAGUAACACGUGGGUAACCUGCCUGUAAGACUGGGAUAACUCCGGGAAACCGGAGCUAAUACCGGAUAGUUCCUUGAACCGCAUGGUUCAAGGAUGAAAGACGGUUUCGGCUGUCACUUACAGAUGGACCCGCGGCGCAUUAGCUAGUUGGUGAGGUAACGGCUCACCAAGGCGACGAUGCGUAGCCGACCUGAGAGGGUGAUCGGCCACACUGGGACUGAGACACGGCCCAGACUCCUACGGGAGGCAGCAGUAGGGAAUCUUCCGCAAUGGACGAAAGUCUGACGGAGCAACGCCGCGUGAGUGAUGAAGGUUUUCGGAUCGUAAAGCUCUGUUGUUAGGGAAGAACAAGUGCAAGAGUAACUGCUUGCACCUUGACGGUACCUAACCAGAAAGCCACGGCUAACUACGUGCCAGCAGCCGCGGUAAUACGUAGGUGGCAAGCGUUGUCCGGAAUUAUUGGGCGUAAAGGGCUCGCAGGCGGUUUCUUAAGUCUGAUGUGAAAGCCCCCGGCUCAACCGGGGAGGGUCAUUGGAAACUGGGAAACUUGAGUGCAGAAGAGGAGAGUGGAAUUCCACGUGUAGCGGUGAAAUGCGUAGAGAUGUGGAGGAACACCAGUGGCGAAAGCGACUCUCUGGUCUGUAACUGACGCUGAGGAGCGAAAGCGUGGGGAGCGAACAGGAUUAGAUACCCUGGUAGUCCACGCCGUAAACGAUGAGUGCUAAGUGUUAGGGGUUUCCGCCCCUUAGUGCUGCAGCUAACGCAUUAAGCACUCCGCCUGGGGAGUACGUCGCAAGACUGAAACUCAAAGAAUUGACGGGGCCCGCACAAGCGUGGAGCAUGUGGUUUAAUUCGAAGCAACGCGAGAACCUUACC
rnacentral:rRNA from 1 species